AUGAACGCUGGCGGCGUGCUUAACACAUGCAAGUCGAACGGAAAGGCCCAAGCUUGCUUGGGUACUCGAGUGGCGAACGGGUGAGUGACACGUGGGUGAUCUGCCCUGCACUUCGGGAUAAGCCUGGGAAACUGGGUCUAAUACCGGAUAGGACCACUUCUUGGAUGUUGUGGUGGAAAGUUUUUUCGGUGUGGGAUGAGCUCGCGGCCUAUCAGCUUGUUGGUGGGGUAAUGGCCUACCAAGGCGUCGACGGGUAGCCGGCCUGAGAGGGUGUACGGCCACAUUGGGACUGAGAUACGGCCCAGACUCCUACGGGAGGCAGCAGUGGGGAAUAUUGCACAAUGGGCGCAAGCCUGAUGCAGCGACGCCGCGUGGGGGAUGACGGCCUUCGGGUUGUAAACUCCUUUCGCUAGGGACGAAGCGUUUUUGUGACGGUACCUGGAGAAGAAGCACCGGCUAACUACGUG
rnacentral:rRNA from 1 species